UUGGUUGUGGCUGUUAUAAGAAUGAGCAGGGUUCUUCAGGAACAAAUCGAUGAAGGCUGGGGAUGGGAAGAGCAAAGACAACCUCUUUCCUUGCGGUGUAAUCUCGUUUUCAAACGCUCCCAAAGCUUGGGGUAAGUAUGAUUGUCAGCUCUGUUUGUGUUUCUUUGACGAGACGCCUGUGCGCGCAGGUAGAAGGAGACGAGGCAGCCGCUCGGCCUGUAGCUGGUGUGCUAAUCGGGGGUGGGAGGAGGGAAGGGGCGCCUCUCAAGGCUUUGCUCUGGAGCUGAACAUUAAUCGCAGCAAAACGCCCCCCAAACAAACAGCCAGUCCCCACCGCUGGGAACACCGCAGCAGCCCCAGAACUGGGGAGCAGGCCGAGCAAAAGCCAGCGUUCCUCCAACGUCUGUGCAGUUUAACUAACCGCACCGUCGCCAUCACGGCGUCCUUUCCAACAAAUGCUUCUCCACCGCAGACACUGGCCCUUAAGUUUCCAAAUCAGUCAUCCAGAAUUAAGGGCGAUGUUAAGCCCAUUGUGUUUUAAUCAUCCUGGCUAUUUAAAUUCUAAUAUGGCUCCACAAUUUUGCGCCAAGGGAGCUGAAUAUAUACAUUAUAUUACUUUCUUUUUUCUUUUUUAAAAGCUAAUUUACAUGAAACUUCUGUAGUCUUGGGCAGGUGAAACAUGGCUUAAUCUGCACUCUGCUGGUCACAUAUUUCCGGCCAGUGUGCUACUCACGUUCACGUGGAGAUCAAGGUCUUUCUUUUGCAAAACAAUACAUGAAAGAGUGUCUUCCCAAUAGGGGCAUAUUAAAAACUAGCAGCAACUUUCCUUCUGUGUUGAUAGAUUCCGGUCCAAACCCUCAGAAUUCCCCGAGAUUAUUCGUGUAAAUAAUUUGAUUCUAACUUUCUGAUUUUGCCGGUGGGAAUGGAUGCAAACGGAUGCAAGUUGGGCGCUGGAGAGAGCUACCGCAGCAAACAGUACUGAAAAGACGACGACGGGCCGAUGAAUUUACGGCAACACUCGAAUCUGUCAAGAAAAGAACAGUCCAAGGAGGAGGGAGCAUUUCUCCAUCUCUAGUUCAAUUCACAAAACACUAGCAAAGCAGAAAACAGAAGCAUGGGUUACUUCCUCACUGAAAACAAUGGGACAUGCCGUCCGAGCCUAUGCACGCUUACUCCGAAGUAAGUCACACUGAAGGAGAUACCCAGGCGCCGCAUCGCUAAUAUUUGAUAGCAAUGCCUUAUGGAGCAGAGUGUGAGGUAAUGGAGCUCCCUUUCGUUCACCCAAGUCAGUGGAAGCUUGCAUGCCCUCCGGAACAGGUUAAAUUAUCUGCAACUCUAGAUGUCCCACAAGCCUGCUGACACUGGACUUCUUCAGUGUAUAUGAAUCAUACCAACUUUCUGCAGAUGGAUGAAUUUCAUCGUACACCCCAGAUAAUCUGACAGAAUGAAGAUACUCUUAUGGAACUUGUACAAUUUUAUAUUAGUGCCUUACACACUGUGCAGUACUCCACUAAUGGAACAGUGGCAUGUGUAUGCCGCUUCUGUGAGUCUACAAAGCAUGUCAUUCAUUCAUUUCAUUCAUUCAUUUGCUUUCUAUACCGCCCUUCCAAAAAUGGCUCAGGGUGGUUUACACAGAGAAAUUGUGAGCCCUUUGGGGACAGAAUGUGAGCCCUUUGGGGACAGGGUUCCAUCUUAUGUAUGUAUGUAUGUAUGUAUGUAUGUAUGUAUGUAUUAUUUCUUUGUGUAAACCGCCCUGAGACAUUUUUGGAAGGGUGGUAUAGAAAUCAAAUCAAAUCAAAUCAAAUCAAAUCAAUCAAUCAAUAAAAAACCCCAAACAAAUAAGAUAAAACCCUUUGCCCAAAGGGCUCACAAUCUAAAAAGAAACAUAAGAGAGAUACCAGCAACAGUCACUGGAGGUACUGUGCUGGGGGUGGAUAGGGCCAGUUACUCUCCCCCUGCUAAAUAAAAAGAAUCACUACAUUAAAAGGAGCCUCUUUGCCCAGUUAGCAGGGGUGCUGAUGCUGCUAGCAAAUGUGGAGAGCCUUCAUGGCUCUUAAGGACUGUGUCAUCAUUGUAGGAUGCAUCUCUCAUCAUUCCCAAUGGUAGCAGCAUCCUACAGUACAGAUGCAAUCCUUAGCAACCACGGAGGAUUGCUAGCUGCAGGCUUUGCAGACUCAUGGAACCAGUGCAUGCACAGUAUGUCAGGCAUUAUUGACAUCUGAUUGCAAUACCCUUAACCGAGCCACUAUUACAACAAAGUUUUACUUAGUUGCUAAAUUUAAUUAAUUAAUUAAUUAAUUAAUUAAUUAAUUUGUUAAUUGAUUAAGGCAAUACUUAGUUUUAAUAUUAGAGGGAAGGUCCAAAGACCAACUCUACAUGCAAGAAGUCUCAGCUUAAACCUUGCAACAUCUCAAAUUAGAAGCAUCUCAUAGCAGGAAAAUACCUCUUUCUAAGAGAACCAUUACCAGCAGGAGCAGAAUUGCCACAUAGACCAUUUAUUUCAAAUAGCAUAUGGCUAUCUUUAUUUGGGUGUCCUGUGUUUUAUUUUUGUAACAAGCGUGUUCUAAAAAAAAAAGUAGUUUAAAAAAAAACAAACGGAAACAUGACUGGAAAAAUCACAGGAUAAUCUUUCUGCUCCCCAUCUCUAUUUUCCUUAAAUAACAAUCCCUUUUUAUUCCAAUAGCUUUUAAUGUGUGCCUUGAUGGUUAAAAAACUAUUCACAGUUACUUUUACUUCUUUUGUUCAUUUGUUUUACACUUAGGUUAUUUCUCUGGAGGGGAAAAAAAAAGAGUAUCACAAGUGACCAUCCAUGGCCUUUUAUUUGGCUUUUCAUCAGCAAUAACCUGAGUGAAUGUUCAGUGAACCAUUCUGAAUGCCUCUUCAUACUGCCGUCCAAAUGGGGAUAAUCACUUCUCAGUGCUCAGAUGACAGCAGCAUAAACUAGGUGACAGACUGAGUAGUGACAACACAGUCAACAUGGUGCAGUACUUUGUGUCAUGCUGGAGAAGGCUCCAGAUGUACAGUUUGUGCUUUGUGCUGACACAGCACAUGCAUCCAGGCAGCACGGCCACUCCUGGAGAACGCUGGGUGUCUUCUCUACCCUAUGGGUCUCUCCCAUGCAGAUGACAAAAUGGUCAUGCCAGCCUGUGAUCUGGAUUCUAUGGCAGAUCAUUUGGGGCACUAGAACAUCCCAUUGAUGCUGAAUCAAUUAGCAGCUAUGCACAGAUCCACAUGUAGAUGUAGAUAUCUUUAUUUUGGUCGUUGCCCAGCAAUGCACAGAUCCAGUGGAAAUUGACUAGAUCUCCUAGUGACACAAGGAGAGCAGAAUGGUAGCCCAUUCUUUUAUAAAGGAAUUUUAUUGUGUAUUAAAUUGUUUUAAUUAUGUUCAUGUUUUAAUUGGUUUUAUAUUAUGAACCGCCCAGGGACUUUUUUUUUUUUUUUGGUAUGGGGUGGUAUAUCAAUGUCCUAAAUAAAUAAAGAGAUGCACUGUAGCUAGUAAA